UACGGAGGGUGCAAACGUUAUCCGGAUUCACUGGGUUUAAAGGGUGUGUAGGCGGAUUUUUAAGUCAGUGGUGAAAUCUCCGGGCUCAACCCGGAAACUGCCAUUGAUACUAUUAGUCUUGAAUUCUGUUGAGGUGGGCGGAAUACAUCAUGUAGCGGUGAAAUGCUUAGAUAUGAUGUAGAACACCGAUUGCGAAGGCAGCUCACUAAGCAGACAUUGACGCUGAGGCACGAAAGCGUGGGGAUCAAACAGG
rnacentral:rRNA from 1 species